ACCUCACCGACGGGAUGGUAACUAUUUAUCCUUUAUUGUAAGGUUUGGCUUAAUGUGUUACGAUGCAGCAUUUGAAAUGCAGUCUACUACCACUUUUCGAUGAUCGAAAGUCCAACAUUUUCCCAUUAGGCAACAUAUGCAGAGAC